GAUGAACGCUGGCGGCGUGCCUAAUACAUGCAAGUCGAGCGAACGGACGAUAAGCUCGCUCCCCUGAUGUUAGCGGCGGACGGGUGAGUAACACGUGGAUAACCUACUUAUAAGACUGGGAUAACUUCGGGAAACCGGUGCUAAUACCGGAUAAUACUUUGAACCGCAUGGUUCAAAAGUGAAUGACGGUCUUGCCGUUUCUUUUAGAUGGUUCCGCGUUGCAUUAGCUAGUUGGUAAGGUAACGGCUUACCAAGGCAACGAUGCAUAGCCGACCUGAGAGGAUGAUCAGCCACACUGGAACUGAGACACGGUCCAGACUCCUACGGGAGGCAGCAGUGGGGAAUCUUGCGCAAUGGGCGAAAGCCUGACGGAGCAACGCCGCGUGAGUGAUGAAGGUCUUCGGAUCGUAAAGCUCUGUUAUUAGGGAAGAACAUAUGUGUAAGUAACUGUGCACAUCUUGACGGUACCUAAACAGAAAGCCACGGCUAACUACGUG
rnacentral:rRNA from 1 species